UUAUCUUGUCAGUGAGUGACAGUGUCACUUUGACAAAAAUAGCAUUGUUGAUCUGAACUUCGAAAAAAAUUCGAACAAUUUCAUUAUUCAUAAUUAAAACAGUGUUUUUUUGAUCGUCUAUCCACCGAACAAUUCGGUUUGGUACUAAAUUCAAGUUCCUAAAGUCUGUCACUAGCAGGGUUUGUUAAUUAAGGUGCGCUUAAAGUUUGUUACGUCUUUAAAAUACACACGCACACACACACACUUCUGCAUAAUACAAACAUUUAGGUCACGUUGUGGUCACGUUGCAAGUGGCGUGGAUGGAUCUGACAUUUCUAUAAUUCUCUUAAUUCAGUAGUUUUGUUCGCCGCUUCUGUGAUUACCUCCUGCUCUAAACAGACGUAAUAAAUACUAAACGUUCUAGAAGGAGUUGAAUCCUGUGACUAUAUUAAAAUUAAAUAACUAAGGCUAUUUACCUUUGAGUGGGAUUAGUUAAUUUGAUUUGUUGUAUCUACUUGGUGAUGAGAAGUUGUAAUUUUUGAGAGCUGCUUAUUAACAAUACUGUUACUGUUUAGUGAUUGACUUGUUACAAGUUUGUUCUGUGUAAUAUAUUUUACUGGACUGUGAUCUGAAAUUUAUUAUAUGGAAAUUGAUAGAGAUAUCAAAAGUAGCUUAUUCUACACCAGGUGCGAUGUGGGUAACUACAUAAGUAUGUCAGCUGCCGCGGAGACGCUGCCGGCGCCGAAUGCCCGAAAGCACGCGCCUCCGGCCACAGCGGCCGCGCCGCAGCCGCCCAGUGCUCGCCGGACAAACGGCAAGCACAUCGUGCACUGGUUCCGAAAGGGCCUGCGCCUUCAUGAUAACCCAGCGUUAAGAGAGGGCUUGCUGGACGCAGCCACCUUCAGAUGUGUAUUCAUUAUUGAUCCUUGGUUCGCUAGCUCUUCUAAUGUUGGCAUCAACAAGUGGAGGUUUCUACUGCAGUGUCUGGAAGACUUGGACAGUAGCUUGAGGAAACUUAACUCUCGGCUGUUCGUGGUUCGAGGGCAACCCGCGGACGCUUUACCCAAAUUGUUUCGAGAAUGGGGAACCACGGCUUUGACCUUCGAAGAGGAUCCCGAGCCUUAUGGCAGAGUGCGGGACCACAAUAUUAUGUCCAAAUGUCGCGAAGUUGGCAUUACCGUCACGUCUCGCGUAUCCCACACUCUAUACAAGUUAGACCAAAUUAUAGAACGGAAUGGUGGCAAAGCGCCUCUUACGUACCACCAGUUCCAAGCAUUGAUCGCAAGCAUGCCUCCCCCUCCGCCGGCGGAGGCGCCCAUAUCAGCACAAAUGCUAAACGGAGCCACCACGCCAUUGAACGAUGACCAUGAUGAUCGAUUCGGCGUUCCCACUCUUGAAGAACUCGGAUUCGAGACUGAAGGUUUAAAACCACCUGUUUGGAUCGGAGGAGAAAGUGAAGCCCUUGCGAGGUUAGAAAGACACCUCGAAAGAAAAGCAUGGGUUGCUUCAUUCGGGAGACCCAAAAUGACACCGCAGUCGCUGUUGGCUAGUCAGACAGGUUUAUCACCGUACUUAAGGUUUGGCUGUUUGUCAACUAGAUUAUUCUAUUAUCAGUUGACGGAGUUGUACAAAAGAGUUAAAAGAGUAAGACCACCGCUAUCUCUUCAUGGACAAAUACUAUGGAGGGAGUUUUUCUAUUGUGCCGCCACACGCAAUCCUAAUUUUGAUCGAAUGGAAGGAAAUCCUAUCUGUGUCCAAAUACCUUGGGAAAAAAAUCAAGAAGCUUUAGCGAAGUGGGCUAGUGGUCAAACUGGUUUCCCAUGGAUAGAUGCGAUAAUGAUCCAAUUAAGAGAGGAAGGGUGGAUUCAUCAUUUAGCGAGGCAUGCCGUGGCUUGCUUCCUAACGAGAGGCGACUUAUGGAUCUCGUGGGAAGAAGGAAUGAAGGUGUUCGACGAAUUGCUUCUUGACGCCGACUGGUCCGUCAAUGCGGGCAUGUGGAUGUGGCUAUCGUGCUCAUCAUUCUUCCAACAAUUUUUCCACUGCUAUUGUCCAGUCCGUUUCGGCAGAAAAACUGAUCCUAACGGUGAUUUUAUCAGAAGAUACAUUCCGGCGUUGAAGAACAUGCCGACUAGGUAUAUCCACGAGCCGUGGGUGGCACCCGAAGCGGUGCAACAAUCGGCGCGGUGCAUCAUCGGCCGCGACUACCCGAUGCCCAUGGUGGACCACUCGAAAGCGUCACAGGUCAACAUCGAACGUAUCAAACAAGUAUACGCCCAGCUUGCAAAAUACAAACCCCAAGGCACUCUGAAUCCCAACGCUGUACAACGCCCCAAUGUCAUGCAAUCAUCACCAAGCCCGAACUCAAUUAUAACCAGCAUCAACCAGUCGAACUACUUGUGCAGCCAAACACCAGAUCCACAGCCUUCACCACAAAUUAUACCUUACAAGGACAAUGAUGUUGUGUUCCAAAAGCCAAUGAACCACCGCUCUAUGAAACCUUCAUUUAAACAAGUUGUUAUCGUACAAAAGAAACAAAAUACUAACGUCAUACAAACAGUGUCCAAUUGCACGCCACAGUCGAAAGAAAACUAUGCCGUCAACGGACAAAUGGAUAACUCGUACAAAACACCAAUAAAUGAGAGCUUACAAACAGCGAAACAAGAAAAAUAUGACUUUAAAAACUUAGUUAUAAAUAACUAUGUUCAAGACUACUCAAAUAACCAAGAAAUUUUCCAGAAUGAGCAACAAAACAGGGACAAUAUAUAUGAACAAGAAACAUUAAAAAUUAAUAACUUCAGUUAUGAGAAACAGAAAUUCUAUUUGUCUAAUUAUACAGAGAAUGGGCUGCGUAUAGCAGCCGUGCACAACGACACACCCGCACCUUUCGUCGCAGCACGUAAUCACGACUCCACUAUGACUUUCAACAGAGAGAACAAGUCAGACACUGGAAAAGACAAGGCUAAUGAAAGCACUUGCUUACAUCCAAUGUCAAUUAACGACGAUGGCACCAUUACAAAUGAAAGUCGACAGAAUAAUCCGUCUAACGAAUGUGGAUACAAUUCUUCUAAUGAAAAUCAAAAAUGAAUAAAUUAAACAAUAGAUUAAAUUAGUCAUAAUCUAUUCAGAGUCUGUAGAAAAAAUGAAAUUGAUAUAAUUGGAAAUCAAUAUUUUCUUUUUUGAAGGUAUUUUGUAACUGCCAUUUUAUCUAUGAGACUAAAGAAACUUGUUGUUGUAUAAUAUUUUGCCUGAAAGUACAGCAAAGCUGGUUACUUAUUUUACAAGUAUAAUUUUUGAGACAGUUCAUAUACAACAAUGGAUCAACUCUUAUAAGAUUCGUUUUUCUGUAUUAACUUACAGUAAUUUGCGUGUUAUGAAUAUACAUGUUACUCAAUUACUUUUUCAUAAUAAGCAAAAUUCGUAUUAAUUUUGUUGUGUACCAGAGCUUCAUAUUGUGAUACCUGUGAUUCAGAUACCUGAAGCCAAUGUUUGAAAACUGUACCUACACCAUUUUAUGAAUUUACGCUUUUCUCAUCGUUGACCUAACAAUCCAGAUUUACUUUUGCAAACAAACCUUCGGCUACCAGAUUCCGCCAUCUAUCUCUAUUCAAAAUUAAGAGUUGGUUCACUAUUGUAUUAGUCAACAUUACACUCUGGAAGUAUAAGGUAAUGCGAGAUUCACAUUGAAACCAAUCAAGUAAUCCAACCAGGCAGAUCUCUAUUAUUAAGUUGAAUUAUUAUAAUUUUAUGAUUAAAUUGAUUGAUAACUAAAAUAAAUGUUUCUAUACAGAAUUAAACUAGAA